rnacentral:lncRNA from 1 species
CGUAGGAGCUCUCCCCACCUUCCCGCGAAGCCCCCAGCUCCGCGGUGCUCCGACUCCUUGCUGCUCCUCUGACGCCCUCAAGUUGGGGCUGGGUAAUUCCCCCCUUUCCCCCAGAAACACUCCUAAAAUUCCCCUGGUUGAGGCAGCGCUGGGAAAUCUCCUCAGGGAAUCCCUCAACUCGCUCAGCUGGAAAAGGGGGCUUCGUCAGGAACUGGUGCUUCAGGUUUAACCCGGGCUCACUGCUGCGCCCAUUGUCUGCUGAAGCUGCAGACUUGCUGACAAGGUGAAUGGGAACUGGUGUGGGCCAAAUCCUACCGAGGCAGAUAGAAGGACAUCCGUGACUCACGCAAGCCUCAAGAAAAGUCUUUCCACCACGUUUGGCCUCACUGGCCCCUCCUUUUCUGCAGGGAGGUAGGCCAAAGGCGGAAUUAUUUAUUGGUUUUCCUGGACUUCGAACGUUGCUUAGGCAUCAAGGGUAGAUAAAAAGGGAAAAGAGAAUUGCCCGAGGCCUACUUUAUACAUGAUCAUUUCAUAUAUGCAUAUUUAUUUACCAAAGUGCCUCAACCCUGCAGUGAGUGCAUUGAAUAAGUUUGGUUCCAGAAUAAGAGUCCUGUAUGGCACCCCUCCUCCGAUAAAUAAAACCCCUACACUGUUCCCUUUACCACAGCUUCUUUACCACAAAAACUUGCGCACACAACUUCUACAACAUGCAGCACAGGUAAAACCAGUUCUGAAUCCUUAACCUUACGGACUCCAUUCUUUUUAAAUGCUAGAAGUUGUUCAGUAGAAAAGGUAACAAAUAGAUUCAAAAUAUGCAAAACGUUACACCCAAAGAAAUCCACCAAAAAUUUCUUUAAGCUGGCAGUAAACCCAGAUGAAACUAUAGUCAUUGGAGAGCAAAAUGCUGCAGUGCACCCAACCCAAAAUAAAAAUCAAGAUAUUGGUCAAGUUAACUUGCAAACAAAACAUCUUCCAAUUUACAUUUUUCCCCCAAACAACCAGAGUGAGAAGUGAAAAGUUUUUGAAUGUCAUCAGGACAGGAUGACAAUCAGCAGAACGUCCUUCAAGUUCUCAGCUACUGGACUGACAAGAUACAGCUGAUGAAAACUGGUGAACAAUUUGUACCUUUUCUGUAACUAUUAUGUGUCAGAUUAUUUUUUAAAAUAGAUUAAUUUUUAAUCUAUGCCAACUAUGGAAUAGAUCACAAGACAGUUCCAGUAGCAUGUGAUUAGUUGGAGGGAGAAGAGGGGCUAUAAACGAAUAUUUCUUUGUUUGGGUGACAAAGAUGAAUGGUCUAUUGUCUUACGUCUGAAAAGAAGUAAACUCAACAGUGCCCUCUCCUGGAAAAAUUACCAAAUAUACUUUUAAACUAUUACAUUUGUAUUACCUGUGCUUUCUAAUGUGCUGCUUUUACUUACAUGUCUACAGUAGAUAUUUCCUCAAACUGCAUCACUGCAGACGGCAUGGUAAUUUGCAUUUACACUUUGGUAAAUAAAUAUGCAAUCUAUGAAAUGAUUAUGUAAAAAGUAGGCCUCGGGCAAUUCUCUUUUCCCUUUUUAUCUACCCUUGAUGCCUAAUAUGUAUGAAAUUUACUCUUUUCUCAAAUAAUAGGCUAAGGCAGUUGAAAGGGAAAAUCAUUGCAAGUUGAAGCUGAGAGUUAGGCUAAGAGCUACUCCUUAAUGUUUACUUUCUCUACACAAUGCACAUGAUUCAAAAACAUAACUCACCUCUCCAAAGCUGCAUGUGCUUUAUACAUUUCAGCAUUAACC